AUAAAUUGGAGGAUUCAAAACUGAGAAAACUAAAAUUACUAGCUGAAGUUCGUGUUAUUACUUGGGUGUGGCGUCGAUUAGUAUCGGACAUGAGAAGCUGAACUAUACGAAUGAAUGCCUUUUUCCACCAAAGGCGUGCUUUCCAGGAGCAGAUGAGCGAACACUUUAUAACAUUUCCCCUUCGAUUACAUCAAGUCAGAAUUGAGAACAUGUACCUGAAGGUGCAAUGAAAUAGAAGAGAAAGGGAGGAUCAGCAACAACCAGUGUAACAACAGAUUAGCAGUAGCAAACGACAACCACAGCAGAUCACUAAACCAUCAACCAACAACAACAUAGCCAGAUUUAAGAGUUGAUGUGCUCCAGUAUUCAAAACCAAGCCAAACAGCCUUAAUAUCACUCCAAAUUGACUCGAAAUCACAAACCAAAACAGACUCCGAAUUACAGCAGUCAAACAGUAGUAAUUUUCAGGCAGAACUAUUCAGUGAUCCACAGAACUGCAAUAUAACAGUGGUUUUGUAUUUUUGCGACUUUAUGUAUAUUUUUUUUUGGUUUUUCUAAGAUGACAAAGAAAGUUUCAGAUCUGGAUUUCUUAUUUGAAUUUCAAAUUAGCUUUUGGAAGCAUAAAGCUAUUUUGGGGGAAA